UGGGGAAUCUUGCGCAAUGGGCGAAAGCCUGACGCAGCAACGCCGCGUGCGGGAAGAAGGCCUUCGGGUUGUAAACCGCUUUCAGCAGGGACGAAGGCGAGCGGGUUAAUAGCCCGUCAGUUGACUGUACCUGCAGAAGAAGGUCCGGCUAACUACGUGCCAGCAGCCGCGGUAAUACGUAGGGACCGAGCGUUGUCCGGAAUCAUUGGGCGUAAAGAGCGUGUAGGCGGCCCCUUAAGUCCUGCGUGAAAUCCUGCGGCUCAACCGCAGACGGUCGUGGGAAACUGGAGGGCUAGAGUGCGGGAGAGGAGAGUGGAAUUCCCGGUGUAGCGGUGAAAUGCGCAGAUAUCGGGAAGAACACCCGUGGCGAAGGCGGCUCUCUGGAACGCAACUGACGCUGAGACGCGAAAGCGUGGGGAGCAAACAG
rnacentral:rRNA from 1 species